UAACGUCCGUCGUGAAGAGGGAAACAACCCAGACCGCCAGCUAAGGUCCCAAAGUCAUGGUUAAGUGGGAAACGAUGUGGGAAGGCCCAGACAGCCAGGAUGUUGGCUUAGAAGCAGCCAUCAUUUAAAGAAAGCGUAAUAGCUCACUGGUCGAGUCGGCCUGCGCGGAAGAUGUAACGGGGCUAAACCAUGCACCGAAGCUGCGGCAGCGACGCUUAUGCGUUGUUGGGUAGGGGAGCGUUCUGUAAGCCUGUGAAGGUGUGCUGUGAGGCAUGCUGGAGGUAUCAGAAGUGCGAAUGCUGACAUAAGUAACGAUAAAGCGGGUGAAAAGCCCGCUCGCCGGAAGACCAAGGGUUCCUGUCCAACGUUAAUCGGGGCAGGGUGAGUCGACCCCUAAGGCGAGGCCGAAAGGCGUAGUCGAUGGGAAACAGGUUAAUAUUCCUGUACUUGGUGUUACUGCGAAGGGGGGACGGAGAAGGCUAUGUUGGCCGGGCGACGGUUGUCCCGGUUUAAGCGUGUAGGCUGGUUUUCCAGGCAAAUCCGGAAAAUCAAGGCUGAGGCGUGAUGACGAGGCACUACGGUGCUGAAGCAACAAAUGCCCUGCUUCCAGGAAAAGCCUCUAAGCAUCAGGUAACAUCAAAUCGUACCCCAAACCGACACAGGUGGUCAGGUAGAGAAUACCAAGGCGCUUGAGAGAACUCGGGUGAAGGAACUAGGCAAAAUGGUGCCGUAACUUCGGGAGAAGGCACGCUGAUAUGUAGGUGAAGUCCCUUGCGGAUGGAGCUGAAAUCAGUCGAAGAUACCAGCUGGCUGCAACUGUUUAUUAAAAACACAGCACUGUGCAAACACGAAAGUGGACGUAUACGGUGUGACGCCUGCCCGGUGCCGGAAGGUUAAUUGAUGGGGUCAGCGCAAGCGAAGCUCUUGAUCGAAGCCCCGGUAAACGGCGGCCGUAACUAUAACGGUCCUAAGGUAGCGAAAUUCCUUGUCGGGUAAGUUCCGACCUGCACGAAUGGCGUAAUGAUGGCCAGGCUGUCUCCACCCGAGACUCAGUGAAAUUGAACUCGCUGUGAAGAUGCAGUGUACCCGCGGCAAGACGGAAAGACCCCGUGAACCUUUACUAUAGCUUGACACUGAACAUUGAGCCUUGAUGUGUAGGAUAGGUGGGAGGCUUGGAAGUGUGGACGCCAGUCUGCAUGGAGCCGACCUUGAAAUACCACCCUUUAAUGUUUGAUGUUCUAACGUUGACCCGUAAUCCGGGUUGCGGACAGUGUCUGGUGGGUAGUUUGACUGGGGCGGUCUCCUCCUAAAGAGUAACGGAGGAGCACGAAGGUUGGCUAAUCCUGGUCGGACAUCAGGAGGUUAGUGCAAUGGCAUAAGCCAGCUUGACUGCGAGCGUGACGGCGCGAGCAGGUGCGAAAGCAGGUCAUAGUGAUCCGGUGGUUCUGAAUGGAAGGGCCAUCGCUCAACGGAUAAAAGGUACUCCGGGGAUAACAGGCUGAUACCGCCCAAGAGUUCAUAUCGACGGCGGUGUUUGGCACCUCGAUGUCGGCUCAUCACAUCCUGGGGCUGAAGUAGGUCCCAAGGGUAUGGCUGUUCGCCAUUUAAAGUGGUACGCGAGCUGGGUUUAGAACGUCGUGAGACAGUUCGGUCCCUAUCUGCCGUGGGCGCUGGAGAACUGAGGGGGGCUGCUCCUAGUACGAGAGGACCGGAGUGGACGCAUCACUGGUGUUCGGGUUGUCAUGCCAAUGGCACUGCCCGGUAGCUAAAUGCGGAAGAGAUAAGUGCUGAAAGCAUCUAAGCACGAAACUUGCC
rnacentral:rRNA from 1 species